GAUGAAGAACGCAGUGAAAUGCGAUAACUAAUGUGAAUUGCAGAAUUCAGUGAAUCAUCGAGUCUUUGAACGCACAUUGCGCCCCCUGGUAUUCCGGGGGGCAUGCCUGUCCGAGCGUCAUUGCUGCCCUCAAGCACGGCUUGUGUGUUAGGCUCCGUCCCCCCGGGGACGGGCCCGAAAGGCAGCGGCGGCACCGAGUCCGGUCCUCGAGCGUAUGGGGCUUUGUCACCCGCUCUGUAGGCCCGGCCGGCGCCAGCCGACAACCCAUCAUCCUUUUCAGGUUGACCUCGGAUCAGGUAGGGAUACCCGCUGAACUUAAGCAUAUCAAUAAGCGGAGGA
rnacentral:misc_RNA from 1 species